UACGUAGGGUGCAAGCGUUGUCCGGAAUUAUUGGGCGUAAAGAGCGUGUAGGCGGCUUGAUAAGUCUGCUGUGAAAGUCCAGGGCUCAACCCUGGAAAGCCGGUGGAUACUGUCAAGCUAGAGUCCGGAAGGGGCGAGUGGAAUUCCUGGUGUAGCGGUGAAAUGCGCAGAUAUCAGGAGGAACACCUAUGGCGAAGGCAGCUCGCUGGGACGUGACUGACGCUGAGACGCGAAAGCGUGGGGAGCAAACAGG
rnacentral:rRNA from 1 species